GGAUGCGAUCAUACCAGUACUAAAGCACCGGAUCCCAUCAGAACUCCGAAGUUAAGCGUGUACUAGGAUGGGUGACCUCCUGGGAAGUCCUCGUGUUGCAUUCC
rnacentral:rRNA from 16 species